rnacentral:rRNA from 1 species
CAGAGGGUGCAAACGUUGUUCGGAAUUACUGGGCGUAAAGCGCGUGUAGGCGGCUAUGCAAGUCGGAUGUGAAAUCCCGCGGCUCAACCGUGGAAGUGCACUCGAUACUGCAAAGCUAGAGUCCUGGAGAGGAAGGUGGAAUGCUUGGUGUAGAGGUGAAAUUCGUAGAUAUCAAGCGGAACACCGGUGGCGAAGGCGGCCUUCUGGACAGUGACUGACGCUGAGACGCGAAAGCGUGGGGAGCAACCAGGAUUAGAUACCCUGGUAGUCCACGCCGUAAACGAUGAGUGCUAGGUGUCACGGGCUUUGACCCUCGUGGUGCCGAAGCUAACGCGUUAAGCACUCCGCCUGGGGAGUACGGCCGCAAGGCUA